AUUCAUUUGAAGAUUGAGAAAUGCUAGCUUGCAGGAGCUCUUCCCAGGACAGCUGGGCACACAGCAGCAGCAGAUUGAUGUGCAGCACAGGGAGCAAACUGAUUGCUUCCAGCAGAUCUGUGGAAAGGACCAAGGGAUGGAAAGUGGGCCAGGGAAUGUGUCCUCCAGUAUGAGGCACUGGAUGGUAAACUUCCUACCAUUACGGAGCACAGAGCCUAUAUCGAGACUGAAUCUUACAUGGGACAAUCUUAUUUCAUGACGUCAGUACAGCAGAACAGGAGAGAAGGAGGUGGCUGAAUCUCAGGGAGUGGCAGUGAAGGUUCAAGCUGCGUGUGUUUAAGGCCACCCUUCAAUGCAGACUGUUUACUGCCCAUGAAUCACAGGCUGAGCAGCACCCCUCUCACACAGCUGUUUGAACUCCAUAACCGAAAGGUGAUCAGCAAAGAUGAAAAACAGGUGCUCCUAAAGACCUGAAAAUGUGAUGGAUGUUUAUUAUCACCUGGGCAUAAUCUGAACAGCCUGGGAGGCUGACGAUGAAGUUGUAUACAUCAUCAACGGUCCACUUGCGAAUGUCUUCAAUGGAAGAAAUGUCUUCCCCAUUCAGGAUCAGGCCAUGUGCUCCUUUGAGGAGGAAAUGCAAGUGUUAUGUUUGUAGGACUUUGCUGGCAAAUCAAUAGGAAAUGACAUGAAAAUUUUUACACUUCUCCAGAACCUAAUACGUUAACAGCAGUGUGUAGCCACAGAUAACUGGAGUCCUAGACACCAAAAUCACCACAUCGUCAGUA